rnacentral:rRNA from 1 species
ACGCGAAGAACCUUACCUGGGUUCGAAAUGCAGGUGUAAACCUCAGAGAUGAGGUCCCCUCUUCGGAGGCACCUGUAUAGGUGCUGCAUGGCUGUCGUCAGCUCGUGUCGUGAGAUGUUGGGUUAAGUCCCGCAACGAGCGCAACCCUUGUCCAUAGUUGCUAACGCGUAGUGGCGAGAACUCUAUGGAGACUGCCGGUGAUAAACCGGAGGAAGGUGGGGAUGACGUCAAGUCCUCAUGGCCUUUAUGUCCAGGGCUACACACGUGCUACAAUGGGCGGUACAAAGAGUUGCGAUCCCGCAAGGGGGAGCUAAUCUCAAAAAGCCGCUCUCAGUUCGGAUUGUUCUCUGCAACUCGAGAGCAUGAAGCUGGAAUCGCUAGUAAUCGCGGAUCAGCACGCCGCGGUGAAUACGUUCCCGGGCCUUGUA